AGUGGCAGACGGGUGAGUAACAUGUACGUAUCUGCCCUUUGGCCUGGAAUAACACGAGGAAACUUGUGCUAAUACCGGAUAAGUCUUUACGGAGAAAGCUUUAUGCACCAUUGGAUGAGCCUGCACUUGUUUAGUUUGUUGGUGGGGUAAUGGCCUACCAAGACUGUGAUCAAUAGCUGAUUUGAGAGGAUGAUCAGCCACAUUGGGACUGAGACACGGCCCAAACUCCUACGGGAGGCAGCAGUGGGGAAUCUUGCACAAUGGAGGAAACUCUGAUGCAGCGAUGCCGCGUGAGUGAAGAAGGCCCUUGGGUUGUAAAGCUCUUUCGUCGGGGAAGAAAAUGACUGUACCCGAAUAAGAAGGUCCGGCUAACUUCGUGCCAGCAGCCGCGGUAAUACGAAGGGACCUAGCGUAGUUCGGAAUUACUGGGCUUAAAGAGUUCGUAGGUGGUUGAAAAAGUUAGUGGUGAAAUCCCAGAGCUUAACUCUGGAACUGCCAUUAAAACUUUUCAGCUAGAGUAUGAUAGAGGAAAGCAGAAUUUCUAGUGUAGAGGUGAAAUUCGUAGAUAUUAGAAAGAAUACCAAUUGCGAAGGCAGCUUUCUGGAUCAUUACUGACACUGAGGAACGAAAGCAUGGGUAGCGAAGAGGAUUAUAUACCCUCGUAGUCCAUGCCGUAAACGAUGUGUGUUAGACGUUGGAAAUUUAUUUUCAGUGUCGCAGCGAAAGCGAUAAACACACCGCCUGGGGAGUAC
rnacentral:rRNA from 1 species